rnacentral:lncRNA from 1 species
UUAAAUACAUAUUAGGGAAUUCCAUUGAUAUGGGAUGAGUUCUGGUAAGUUAUCAUUGAUAAUAGAUUUAGUUCUUUGCUGGCAGUAUCUCUAUGCUUUCCACAUAUCUUAUUUCUUGGAUAUUCUCUAAGGAUCUUAAUAAUACUACAUCAUCCCAAAAUAUAUUUAAACUACAUUCAUAUGCUUUUCUCCCUAAGGCUGUAGUGAGUUUGUCUUUAUUAAUAUCUUUUUUAUGUUCAUUUAUUCUACACCUCAAGGAUCUAACAGUACUGCCUAUAUAUGCAUGGUAUGUGUUAUCAUUAUUAUCUAAUAAAGGAAUUAAGUAUACACCUGCAGCAUCAUAUGGGGAAACCUUAGGUUUGUAAUUACAUAGUGAUCUAUAUAUGGUGUUGCGAUUGCUGUGGGGAAGGACAUAAUUGUCUUUUGAGGGCCUUAUCUAUGGGAUCAUAGAUAUUAUGAUAUGGAAUUGCACUUAAAUAUUUAAAUUGAUAACAAAAAUACAGUACUGUAGGCGGGGGAUUUUUGCUGUGGCGGGGCGCUUUCGGAUUGCAC